rnacentral:rRNA from 1 species
UUAACACGAAGUGAGUGGCGAACGGGUGAGUAACACGUGGGUAACCUGCCCAGAAGUAGGGGAUAACACCUGGAAACAGAUGCUAAUACCGUAUAACAGAGAAAACCGCAUGGUUUUCUUUUAAAAGAUGGCUCUGCUAUCACUUCUGGAUGGACCCGCGGCGUAUUAGCUAGUUGGUGAGGUAAAGGCUCACCAAGGCAGUGAUACGUAGCCGACCUGAGAGGGUAAUCGGCCACAUUGGGACUGAGACACGGCCCAGACUCCUACGGGAGGCAGCAGUAGGGAAUCUUCCACAAUGGACGCAAGUCUGAUGGAGCAACGCCGCGUGAGUGAAGAAGGGUUUCGGCUCGUAAAGCUCUGUUGUUAAAGAAGAACGUGGGUAAGAGUAACUGUUUACCCAGUGACGGUAUUUAACCAGAAAGCCACGGCUAACUACGUGCCAGCAGCCGCGGUAAUACGUAGGUGGCAAGCGUUAUCCGGAUUUAUUGGGCGUAAAGCGAGCGCAGGCGGUCUUUUAAGUCUAAUGUGAAAGCCUUCGGCUCAACCGAAGAAGUGCAUUGGAAACUGGGAGACUUGAGUGCAGAAGAGGACAGUGGAACUCCAUGUGUAGCGGUGAAAUGCGUAGAUAUAUGGAAGAACACCAGUGGCGAAGGCGGCUGUCUGGUCUGCAACUGACGCUGAGGCUCGAAAGCAUG